rnacentral:rRNA from 1 species
GGGACACGUGGUAUCCUGUCUGAAUAUGGGGGGACCAUCCUCCAAGGCUAAAUACUCCUGACUGACCGAUAGUGAACCAGUACCGUGAGGGAAAGGCGAAAAGAACCCCGGCGAGGGGAGUGAAAAAGAACCUGAAACCGUGUACGUACAAGCAGUGGGAGCACAGGUUUACCUGUGUGACUGCGUACCUUUUGUAUAAUGGGUCAGCGACUUAUAUUCUGUAGCAAGGUUAACCGAAUAGGGGAGCCGGAGGGAAACCGAGUCUUAAUUGGGCGUUAAGUUGCAGGGUAUAGACCCGAAACCCGGUGAUCUAGCCAUGGGCAGGUUGAAGGUUGGGUAACACUAACUGGAGGACCGAACCGACUAAUGUUGAAAAAUUAGCGGAUGACCUGUGGCUGGGGGUGAAAGGCCAAUCAAACCGGGAGAUAGCUGGUUCUCCCCGAAAGCUAUUUAGGUAGCGCCUCGUGAAUUCAUCUCCGGGGGUAGAGCACUGUUUCGGCUAGGGGGCCAUCCCGGCUUACCAACCCGAUGCAAACUGCGAAUACCGGAGAAUGUUAUCACGGGAGACACACGGCGGGUGCUAACGUCCGUCGUGAAGAGGGAAACAACCCAGACCGCCAGCUAAGGUCCCAAAGUCAUGGUUAAGUGGGAAACGAUGUGGGAAGGCCCAGACAGCCAGGAUGUUGGCUUAGAAGCAGCCAUCAUUUAAAGAAAGCGUAAUAGCUCACUGGUCGAGUCGGCCUGCGCGGAAGAUGUAACGGGGCUAAACCAUGCACCGAAGCUGCGGCAGCGACGCUUAUGCGUUGUUGGGUAGGGGAGCGUUCUGUAAGCCUGUGAAGGUGUGUCGUGAGGCAUGCUGGAGGUAUCAGAAGUGCGAAUGCUGACAUAAGUAACGAUAAAGCGGGUGAAAAGCCCGCUCGCCGGAAGACCAAGGGUUCCUGUCCAACGUUAAUCGGGGCAGGGUGAGUCGACCCCUAAGGCGAGGCCGAAAGGCGUAGUCGAUGGGAAACGGGUUAAUAUUCCCGUACUUGGUGUUACUGCGAAGGGGGGACGGAGAAGGCUAUGUUGGCCGGGCGACGGUUGUCCCGGUUUAAGCGUGUAGGUGUGUGUUCCAGGUAAAUCCGGUUCACUUUAACACUGAGGCGUGAUGACGAGGCACUACGGUGCUGAAGCAACAAAUGCCCUGCUUCCAGGAAAAGCCUCUAAGCAUCAGGUAACAUCAAAUCGUACCCCAAACCGACACAGGUGGUCAGGUAGAGAAUACCAAGGCGCUUGAGAGAACUCGGGUGAAGGAACUAGGCAAAAUGGUGCCGUAACUUCGGGAGAAGGCACGCUGACACGUAGGUGAAGUGAUUUACUCAUGGAGCUGAAGUCAGUCGAAGAUACCAGCUGGCUGCAACUGUUUAUUAAAAACACAGCACUGUGCAAACACGAAAGUGGACGUAUACGGUGUGACGCCUGCCCGGUGCCGGAAGGUUAAUUGAUGGGGUCAGCGCAAGCGAAGCUCCUGAUCGAAGCCCCGGUAAACGGCGGCCGUAACUAUAACGGUCCUAAGGUAGCGAAAUUCCUUGUCGGGUAAGUUCCGACCUGCACGAAUGGCGUAAUGAUGGCCAGGCUGUCUCCACCCGAGACUCAGUGAAAUUGAACUCGCUGUGAAGAUGCAGUGUACCCGCGGCAAGACGGAAAGACCCCGUGAACCUUUACUAUAGCUUGACACUGAACAUUGAGCCUUGAUGUGUAGGAUAGGUGGGAGGCUUUGAAGCGUGGACGCCAGUCUGCGUGGAGCCGACCUUGAAAUACCACCCUUUAAUGUUUGAUGUUCUAACGUGGACCCGU